AUAGAGCAACAAACUCUAUACAGUUUUAGUGAGCCCCGGUUAUCUUCUCUGACCCGCCAAAGUUGAGGGAGAUUAUCGGGGUUUUUGCUU
rnacentral:antisense_RNA from 1 species